rnacentral:rRNA from 1 species
UACGUAGGGUGCGAGCGUUGUCCGGAAUUAUUGGGCGUAAAGAGCUUGUAGGCGGUUUGUCGCGUCUGCUGUGAAAAUCCGAGGCUCAACCUCGGACUUGCAGUGGGUACGGGCAGACUAGAGUGUGGUAGGGGAGACUGGAAUUCCUGGUGUAGCGGUGAAAUGCGCAGAUAUCAGGAGGAACACCGAUGGCGAAGGCAGGUCUCUGGGCCACUACUGACGCUGAGAAGUGAAAGCAUGGGGAGCGAACAGG